GGCGGCGUGCCUAAUACAUGCAAGUCGAACGAAUCUUCUUCGGAAGAUGAGUGGCGAACGGGUGAGUAAUACAUAGGUAACCUGCCCCUGUGCGGGGGAUAACAGGAGGAAACUCAUGCUAAUACCGCAUAGCCAUGAGCACCGCAUGGAGCUCAUGCCAAAUAUCCUUCAGGGGAUAGCGCAGGGAUGGACCUAUGGCGCAUUAGCUAGUUGGCGGGGCAACGGCCCACCAAGGCAACGAUGCGUAGCCGGCCUGAGAGGGCGGACGGCCACAUUGGGACUGAGACACGGCCCAGACUCCUACGGGAGGCAGCAGUAGGGAAUUUUCGGCAAUGGGGGAAACCCUGACCGAGCAACGCCGCGUGAGCGAAGAAGGCCUUCGGGUCGUAAAGCUCUGUUGUAAAGGAAGAACGUCGCAUGCAGGAAAUGGUGUGCGAGUGACGGUACUUUACCAGAAAGCCACGGCUAACUACGUGCCAGCAGCCGCGGUAAUACGUA
rnacentral:rRNA from 1 species